rnacentral:lncRNA from 1 species
AUCAUAUCUACUUCUAAUCUAAGUUCAAAACUCGAUACCUGAGCACGGGUCGAUGAUCUCCGCUACUGAGAGACAUGGUAGAGAGGAUUUUUAUUGGUUGCUCAUAGCCACACAUGCAUCCAGCCUCUAUAAAAAAUUCACUCGAAGCCCCGAUCUUAUCGAUCUUCUCGGGAGUGCUAGCUCGCGUGAAGAUUUUUUUCUUGGCCGAUCUGGAUCCUUUCUUUAAAUCUCUAAAAUUUUUUCAGAGGUUAAAGAUAAACUUCUGGAGGAGAUAAAAAGGUAAAAGAA